AUUGAACGCUGGCGGCAGGCCUAACACAUGCAAGUCGAGCGGAUGAAGGGAGCUUGCUCCUGGAUUCAGCGGCGGACGGGUGAGUAAUGCCUAGGAAUCUGCCUGGUAGUGGGGAUAACGUCCGGAAACGGGCGCUAAUACCGCAUACGUCCUGAGGGAGAAAGUGGGGGAUCUUCGGACCUCACGCUAUCUGAUGAGCCUAGGUCGGAUUAGCUAGUUGGUGGGGUAAAGGCCUACCAAGGCGACGAUCCGUAACUGGUCUGAGAGGAUGAUCAGUCACACUGGAACUGAGACACGGUCCAGACUCCUACGGGAGGCAGCAGUGGGGAAUAUUGGACAAUGGGCGAAAGCCUGAUCCAGCCAUGCCGCGUGUGUGGAGAAGGUCUUCGGAUUGUAAAGCACUUUAAGUUGGGAGGAAGGGCAGUAAGUUAAUACCUUGCUGUUUUGACGUUACCAACAGAAUAAGCACCGGCUAACUUCGUG
rnacentral:rRNA from 1 species